rnacentral:rRNA from 1 species
CACGUAGGGCGCGAGCGUUGUCCGGAAUUAUUGGGCGUAAAGAGCUCGUAGGCGGCCUGUUGCGUCCGCUGUGAAAGCCCGGGGCUUAACCCCGGGUCGGCAGUGGAUACGGGCAGGCUAGAGGUAGGUAGGGGAGAAUGGAAUUCCCGGUGUAGCGGUGAAAUGCGUAGAUAUCUGGAGGAACACCGGUGGCGAAGGCGGCAUCCUGGACCGGCAUUGACGCUGAGGCGCGAAAGCCAGGGGAGCAAACGGG